rnacentral:rRNA from 1 species
AACGAACGCUGGCGGCAUGCCUAACACAUGCAAGUCGAACGAGACCUUCGGGUCUAGUGGCGCACGGGUGCGUAACGCGUGGGAACCUGCACUUAGGUUCGGAAUAACUCACCGAAAGGGGUGCUAAUACCGGAUAAUGUCUUCGGACCAAAGAUUUAUCGCCUUUGGAUGGGCCCGCGUUGGAUUAGCUAGUUGGUAGGGUAAAAGCCUACCAAGGCGACGAUCCAUAGCUGGUCUGAGAGGAUGAUCAGCCACACUGGGACUGAGACACGGCCCAGACUCCUACGGGAUGCAGCAGUGGGGAAUAUUGGACAAUGGGCGAAAGCCUGAUCCAGCAAUGCCGCGUGAGUGAUGAAGGCCUUAGGGUUGUAAAGCUCUUUUACCCGGGAUGAUAAUGACAGUACCGGGAGAAUAAGCUCCGGCUAACUCCGUG